rnacentral:lncRNA from 1 species
CCCAUGUUAUCAUCAUUGAAGAAUGGAGGCUCUUUUCUGUUAUCCAUUACUUUGACUUUUCUAGUUCUUCUAAAAUAUGUCGCAGGCAACUGUAUUCCAGUUCUAGCCAAAUCAGGUUUGAAGAUUGGUAAUAUAUAUUGUUGUUCAUGUUUUGAGUUUUGUACCUACACACUUGAGGCCACCGAGUCACCUGCGCAGCCGUUGCUCCUCCAAGACCAAUCCGGGCUCCCCAGACCCACGGGCCUGAAUCUGGAGGACAGCAGUCCGCGUGACAACAGCGACUCGGAGAUCAGCACCCGUCGGGAAAGCCGCGUACCCGUUGAAGCUGGCGUCACGCCCAAAGGAACAAACGCCAGAGCGUGUGUCCUGGGCAAAGGCGGCCCGCCGCUCCGGUCCCCGGGCAGCAGCGGCCGGCGUCAGGCCGCAAGGCGAGGGGCGGGGACAGGACUCUACCCGGCAGCCCAGCACCGAGCGCCCGCGCCACUCCGGCCUUGCGCCAUUCCGGCCCCACGACG